CAGCCAUCAUUCAAAGCUCAAGAUAGGGACCCACGUGGGCUGUGCCUCCUUCAUUUCUGCUAUCCAACAUCAGAACAGUAUAUGAAUAUGGCAAAUGCUGUUUUGACAUCAUUUCCUGCCAUCCUGAGAAACAGUGAUCUCGAGGAGCAUGAAUUGCAGCUGCAAUGGAAAUUGUGCAUUCAGCGCAAGUUUCAGAAUUCAAGGAAGAGGCAGGAUUCCUCAGUGACUGAGGUGACAUCAAGGAAAAGGAAGAUCCCUUGCAUAGCGCCAAAAGAGACUACGUGUCCACUGAUGUAUGGAGUAAAGGCUUACCUUCCACCAAGGCCCCAUUCAGAAGAUGAUGAGUCAUUAGAGAGACAUAGACAGUGGCUUACUCUACAUUGGAUGAAGAAAGAUCCCGAGUUAGAUAAGAUAAUCAAGGAGUUCCUGAGAUUAGAACCACAUGCGGAUGAACCAGACCCAAGAGUAGCAGUUUUGAAAGGGCUGGAGAAAUAUAGGCUCCCAAUAAUUGCCAUUCUCAAAAAAAGAAAAGCAGUUCCUCUGUAUAUGGAAACCUUACUUGAACUCUAUGACCAUGAUGAAAGUCAAUAUGCUUGCUUAGUUAUAUUGGGGUUACUUCACCUGCUUGGAGAAAGGAAAGACUCCAUUUUUACUAAGGUUAAAUUUCAGUACCUUUGAUUUUAGAGUGAUGUGUACGAGUAUAUAUUGAAAUUUCUGAAUAUAUUAUCACCUUAAGAUAUACAUCUACAUAUAAAUUUUAUUUUAAUGUCAAAAUGUUAUUAAUGUUUACACUAUUAUUUCUUCCUUAAGGUACCAGAAAAAGAACUAAGAACAGGGCAGUCUAGUGUGUCCAUUCAACAUGUUGGGGACAUACAUGUCAGACAGAUUUUGUGUAUUAUUUGAUGGUGCACCUGUAGCUGAACCAACAUGUAUUUCUAUGGCUGUAGUCUCAUUGGUAGCAGGGCUUUAUGUGUUUAAUAUUGAACACCCAAAAAAUUGUGAACAUUUCCUCCAUUUCACAACAUCCCAUCUCUUAGGUAUCAAGUAUGACAAAGGUAACACUUCAAAAACAAGAUCUCUACUUAUAAAACUCAAUGAAGUAAAGACAGAAUUGAGCUACAAAAAUGCAUAAAUCUGCUUCCAGAUAUAUUAAACUCCACACAUAAUGCCUCUCUCUCUCUCUCU